CAGCCGCCGCGGGAAUACGUAGGGCGCAAGCGUUAUCCGGGAUUAUUGGGCGUAAAGAGCUCGUAGGCGGUCUGUCGCGUCUGCUGUGAAAACUGGAGGCUCAACCUCCAGCCUGCAGUGGGUACGGGCAGACUAGAGUGCGGUAGGGGAGAUUGGAAUUCCUGGUGUAGCGGUGGAAUGCGCAGAUAUCAGGAGGAACACCGAUGGCGAAGGCAGAUCUCUGGGCCGUAACUGACGCUGAGGAGCGAAAGCAUGGGGAGCGAACAGGAUUAGAUACCCGCGUAGUCCCUGUCUCUUAUAC
rnacentral:rRNA from 1 species